AUUGAACGCUAGCGGGAUGCCUUACACAUGCAAGUCGAACGGAGUGUCGAACGGGGGGUGAAUGUCUGGGAACGUACACAGUAGCGAGGGAUAACUACGCGAAAGCGUAGCUAAUACCGCAUACUAGUGAAGCGGCCGAUAUCGGAUUAGCUAGUUGGUGGGGUAACGGCUUACCAAGGCGACGAGCCGUAGCUGGUUUGAGAGGAGGACCCGCCACACUGGGACUGAGACACGGCCCAGACUCCUACGGGAGGCAGCAGUGGGGAAUUUUGGACAAUGGGGGAAACCCUGAUCCAGCCAUCCCGCGUGUGUGAUGAAGGCCUUCGGGUUGUAAAGCACUUUUGGCAGGAAAGCGGUACCUGCAGAAUAAGCACCGGCUAACUACGUGCCAGCAGCCGCGGUAAUUC
rnacentral:rRNA from 1 species